AUUGAACGCUGGCGGCAUGCCUUACACAUGCAAGUCGAACGGCAGCACGGGGCAACCUGGUGGCGAGUGGCGAACGGGUGAGUAAUGCAUCGGAACGUACCUUUCAGUGGGGGAUAACGUAGCGAAAGUUACGCUAAUACCGCAUAUUCUGUGAGCAGGAAAGCAGGGGAUCGCAAGACCUUGCGCUGAUUGAGCGGCCGAUGUCAGAUUAGCUAGUUGGUGAGGUAAAGGCUCACCAAGGCGACGAUCUGUGGCGGGUCUGAGAGCAUGAUCCGCCACACUGGAACUGAGACACGGUCCAGACUCCUACGGGAGGCAGCAGUGGGGAAUUUUGGACAAUGGGGGCAACCCUGAUCCAGCCAUGCCGCGUGAGUGAAGAAGGCCUUCGGGUUGUAAAGCUCUUUCGGCCGGGAAGAAAUCGCACGGGCUAAUACCCUGUGUGGAUGACGGUACCGGAAUAAGGAGCACCGGCUAACUACGUGCCAGCCGCCGCCGUAAGAC
rnacentral:rRNA from 1 species